AUUGAACGCUGGCGGCAUGCCUUACACAUGCAAGUCGAACGGCAGCACGGGUGCUUGCACCUGGUGGCGAGUGGCGAACGGGUGAGUAAUACAUCGGAACAUGUCCUGUAGUGGGGGAUAGCCCGGCGAAAGCCGGAUUAAUACCGCAUACGAUCUACGGAUGAAGGCGGGGGACCUUCGGGCCUCGCGCUAUAGGGUUGGCCGAUGGCUGAUUAGCUAGUUGGUGGGGUAAAGGCCUACCAAGGCGACGAUCAGUAGCUGGUCUGAGAGGACGACCAGCCACACUGGGACUGAGACACGGCCCAGACUCCUACGGGAGGCAGCAGUGGGGAAUUUUGGACAAUGGGCGAAAGCCUGAUCCAGCAAUGCCGCGUGUGUGAAGAAGGCCUUCGGGUUGUAAAGCACUUUUGUCCGGAAAGAAAUCCUUGGCUCUAAUACAGUCGGGGGAUGACGGUACCGGAAGAAUAAGCACCGGCUAACUACGUGCCAGCCGCCGCCGUAAAAC
rnacentral:rRNA from 1 species